AAAAUCCGUCGAUUUUCAAAUCUGAGGGGUUAAAGUCCCUUUAUCCCCA
rnacentral:tRNA from 1 species